CGUCUCUUAUCAAGUUCGAUCAGCCGUCAGUGAGGCCAUGGAGCAUCUUCCUGCUGGUAAAGCAGCCGUUCUGGUGGUGAUGCAUCACACCUUCAAUCCUGAACAAGUGAUUCCUCCGAGCCGCAGACUGGUGACAGACCGGAGAGUCCGACUGACUGUGGACUGUCUGUUCCACCAGAACAAUCUGCUCAGCUGUGAACUCAACAGGAGCAUGAAGGCUGACAUCAAGACAUUCUUCUGAGUUCAGCCUGUCAGAGGAGACU